ensembl:lncRNA
AUGGUGGACGCUAGAGAAUAUGACCUGGAGAUACAUAAGAGGAUAUACAACACACAAGAUGAUCCAUUUUGUAGAGUAAAGAAUGACAGCAAGAAGGAUUGUGAUCUUUAUAAUAACAGACCUGAAGUGAACAUCAUUGAUGGGACUCUGAUAAUAAACCGUGUGAUCAGAACAGAUUCUGGGAAUUACAGAUUAGAACUAUUUAACUUAGAAGGCACAAGAACAUCUGAAAAACAUCUUCAAGUGAUUGUUGAAGUGUGUUCAGUGUCUGUGGUGUUUGUUCUGGUCUGGUGUCUCCAGAUGAUGGUUCUGUUCGGUCUGUUAGGAGGUUUUCACAUCUACAUGAGACACACGUCAGGAAAGAAACAAGGAAGAUCAGAAAGUGAGAAUGAGAAGAUUUAGAGAGAGACAUGAACACACAGCAGAAGAUCCAUGAGAGCAGCAGCAGAGCUUCACAUCUGUGAGAAAUGAGUUCAGAAUCAGUCCAGCUUUCACCUGUCAGCAGCAGGAGAUCUUACAGAAUAAAGCCAGAAGACAUUUUCUGCA